rnacentral:rRNA from 1 species
ACUUGAAUUGAAGAGUUUGAUCAUGGCUCAGAUUGAACGCUGGCGGCAGGCUUAACACAUGCAAGUCGAACGGUAGCAGGAGAAAGCUUGCUUUCUUGCUGACGAGUGGCGGACGGGUGAGUAAUGCUUGGGAAUCUGGCUUAUGGAGGGGGAUAACGACGGGAAACUGUCGCUAAUACCGCGUAUUAUCGGAAGAUGAAAGUGCGGGACUGAGAGGCCGCAUGCCAUAGGAUGAGCCCAAGUGGGAUUAGGUAGUUGGUGGGGUAAAUGCCUACCAAGCCUGCGAUCUCUAGCUGGUCUGAGAGGAUGACCAGCCACACUGGAACUGAGACACGGUCCAGACUCCUACGGGAGGCAGCAGUGGGGAAUAUUGCGCAAUGGGGGGAACCCUGACGCAGCCAUGCCGCGUGAAUGAAGAAGGCCUUCGGGUUGUAAAGUUCUUUCGGUAUUGAGGAAGGUUGAUGUGUUAAUAGCACAUCAAAUUGACGUUAAAUACAGAAGAAGCACCGGCUAACUCCGUGCCAGCAGCCGCGGUAAUACGGAGGGUGCGAGCGUUAAUCGGAAUAACUGGGCGUAAAGGGCACGCAGGCGGUUAUUUAAGUGAGGUGUGAAAGCCCUGGGCUUAACCUAGGAAU